UACAGAGGGUGCGAGCGUUAAUCGGAAUUACUGGGCGUAAAGCGUGCGUAGACGGUUCUGUAAGUCGGAUGUGAAAGCCCCGGGCUCAACCUGGGAACUGCAUUUGAGACUGCUCUGCUCGGGUGCGGAAGAGGGAAGCGGAAUUUCCGGUGUAGCGGUGAAAUGCGUAGAUAUCGGAAGGAACACCAGUGGCGAAAGCGGCUUCCUGGUCCUACACCGACGUUCAGGCACGAAAGCGUGGGGAGCAAACAGG
rnacentral:rRNA from 1 species